rnacentral:siRNA from 1 species
AUACCAGGAGGUUCUAGGCCGAAU